CUCUAUCGCCAUGCCAACCUGAAUGCGCUGGAUCUCGUCUGAUCUCGGAAGCUAAGCAGGGUCGGCGCUGGUUAGUACUUGGAUCGGAGAAAGCCUGUGAAUACCGGCUGCAGCAGGCU
ensembl:rRNA 5S_rRNA 5S ribosomal RNA